AACGAACGCUGGCGGCGUGCCUAAUACAUGCAAGUCGAGCGGAUGAUGAAGAAGCUUGCUUCUUCUGAUUUAGCGGCGGACGGGUGAGUAACACGUGGGCAACCUGCCCUGUAGAUUGGGAUAACUCCGGGAAACCGGGGCUAAUACCGAAUAAUCCAUUUCCUCACAUGGGGAAAUGUUAAAGGACGGUCUCGGCUGUCACUACAGGAUGGGCCCGCGGCGCAUUAGCUAGUUGGUGAGGUAACGGCUCACCAAGGCGACGAUGCGUAGCCGGCCUGGGAGGGGGAUCGGCCACACUGGGGAUGAGACACGGCCCAGAAUCCUACGGGAGGCAGCAGUAGGGAAUCUUCCACAAUGGACGAAAGUCUGAUGGAGCAACGCCGCGUGAGUGAAGAGGGUUUUCGGAUCGUAAAACUCUGUUGUGAGGGAAGAACAAGUACGAGAGUAACUGCUCGUACCUUGACGGUACCUCAUUAGAAAGCCACGGCUAACUACGUGCCAGCAGCCGCAGUAACAC
rnacentral:rRNA from 1 species